rnacentral:rRNA from 1 species
GAUCCUGGCUCAGGAUGAACGCUAGCUACAGGCUUAACACAUGCAAGUCGAGGGGCAGCAUUUUAGCUUGCUUGCAAACUGAAGAUGGCGACCGGCGCACGGGGUGAGUAACACGUAUCAACCUGCCGAUAACUCCGGGAUAGCCUUUCGAAAGAAAGAUUAAUACCGGAUAGCAUACGAAUAUCGCAUGAUAUUUUUAUUAAAGAAUUUCGGUUAUCGAUGGGGAUGCGUUCCAUUUAG